UACAGAGGUCUCAAGCGUUGUUCGGAUUCAUUGGGCGUAAAGGGCGCGUAGGCGGCGCCGUAAGUCGGGUGUGAAAUUUCGGAGCUUAACUCCGAAACUGCAUUCGAUACUGCGGUGCUUGAGGACUGGAGAGGAGACUGGAAUUCAUGGUGUAGCAGUGAAAUGCGUAGAGAUCAUGAGGAAGACCAGUGGCGAAGGCGGGUCUCUGGACAGUUCCUGACACUGAGGCACGAAGGCCAGGGGAGCAAACGGG
rnacentral:rRNA from 1 species